rnacentral:lncRNA from 1 species
AUGGGGGAGCUACGGGCAGCAUCUGCCCCACAGGCAGCAAUGACCUGCUGCAAUAACCACCGGGCUCCCCAUUUUCCAGAGACCCACUCAAGUGACAGCAGAUACCAAGGGGACACGUUUGGCCACGGCCAACUGCACGGAAAGCUGCGAGCACGAGUCUUCUUCUCUAGGGUUUUCCCCUGCAUUUCCCUUUUCUGCCUCUCAGCACCUCCAGCUUGCCUCUUGGCAUCCCUCCCACAUCAGGCGCCGCUUGCUCCCAGUGACGCCGCCACGGCCCAUAAAGAGGAGGCAGCAGGCAUCACCGUGCGAGCUCGGAGGUGCACCACGGGGCCACCAGACCCCCUGGAGGAGAAGCUGUCACCCCAGCAGGCUCAGCCACUGCUCCUUCUCCUUUCCACCUUUACCAGGAAAAUCCACGUCCAAGGCUCAGCACCGAGCCCUCUCUCGUCCCGCUCCUGGAUGGAGGUCCAGCUCCUAACCACCACCCUGGGGGGGCCAGGACAGUGGACACCCAUCGGGGACCCCCCCAACAAGGCGAUCCCCUGGCUGGCUGCGGGUCGGUGUGCUCCCAUGGGGCAGCAUGCAAAGGUGGGUAGUGGAAAACCUCCCUGCUUGGGGUUUUGGGGGACUUGUAAAUGCCACCAGUUACCUGGGAACUCCUCACUCGUCCUCAGUUUUUCCAUUUUCUGGUUUUUUUGUUUUGUUUUCGGGUUUUUUUAUCCCAGUUCUGGGCUUUGGGGUGGUUGGGACUCCCCUGGGGGUAAAAUGAAGCUUACCAGAGCACCUCACUCAGGGUGAAAGGUGCAGCAGGAGCGCUCCUGCUCCCACACCUCCAGCUUCCCCACUCCAAACCUGCCCACACAUCCCCUCGUCCUGCACAAACUUGCCACCUCUGCCUCCCAGCAAGGAAAACGCAGGGACCUGAGCCAAACCGGGAACUGGUUUGACACAGCCACCUCCCACUCCCUGACCUGCUCUCACAAACCUCUGGUCCGUGGCAGAAAGGAUGAGUGAUCCAGAAUGGGAUUCAAAGCCCCUGCAGGCUGCUACCUGGGGAGUUUUCCUUCACCCUCCCGUCUGCCCCUGCGUGAUGGGACACUGGAAGCAGAGCUGGAAACUCCCCAGCUAGCCAGGAUCUGUCCUGGCAACCCCCUGAGGCACAGUGGGACUUCCCCAGCAGCACUCUGGCUCUCCUCUGAGUCCUUGAGUUAGGAGGAUUUGAGUCUCACAACUUCCCCUACACAUUUCUGGCGAAAAUCUGCACCAGAAAAAAUACCCCACUUCCUUGGGGAGGUGCUCCUGGAGAGCCUGGUGUGUCCAGAGCCACGCCAGCACCCUGGGCAGGAUGAGGCUUGCAGCUUUGAUGCUGCCGUACCCAUCACCUGGUCUCAUCCUGCCUCCGGGCAUGCUGCCCACCCUUGACAAAGUCCACCCCGAUGUCACACCUUGGCAGACGAGGUGCCUGCGUGCCCCUCUGCCCUGCCACUUGUCCCCCGUGCAGCUCAGGGCACGAUGACCCGGUUGUCCUGACCGCCUGCGCCCCGUUUUGCUGCCAACAGGUCGUGGAGCUGCUGCGCCAGGACCUGCAGCACCGGGACCUGCAGGCGGGCUCCCUGGUGGUGAGCACCCCAAGGCUGGCCGGAGGGGUGAGGACGACCUGGAGCACAAGUGCUGGAGACCAGGGCAGGGGGCUUGGUAUCCUGUUUCUGUCCAUAAUGCUGCCAGCAGAUAAUUUCCAAGAGAAUUCAGAGUGAGAGCAAAUCACAGAAUCACAGAAUUUCUAGGUUGGAAACAACAUUUCAUUUAAAAUAAACCGGUCAAAAUUUUGGGUGUUGAAUUUCA